GACGAACGCUGGCGGCGUGCCUAACACAUGCAAGUCGAACGGACAGGCCCUGCUUUUGUGGGGUGCUCGAGUGGCGAACGGGUGAGUAACACGUGAGUACCCUGUACUUGACUUUGGGAUAUCUUCAGGCAACUUGGGCUCAUACCGGGUAGGAUCUCUUGCUGCAUGGGGGGCGUUGGUAAGUUUCGGCGGUUGGGGAUGGAAUUGCGGCUUAUCAGCUAGUUGGUGGGGUAGUGGCAUACCAAGGCUUUGACGGGUUGGGGGCCUGGUAGGGGGGCCGGCCACAAUACGUCGGAGAUACGGCCCAGACUCCAACGGGAGGCAGGGGUGGAGAAUAUUGCACAGUGGGCUGGAGCCUGAUGCAGCGACGCCGUGUGCGGGAUAUCGGGAUUCGGGUUGGAAACCGAUUUCGCCUGAGACGAGGCGUGAGUGACGGUACUGGGUAAAGAAGCACCGGCUAACUACGUG
rnacentral:rRNA from 1 species